rnacentral:rRNA from 1 species
ACAGAGGGUGCGAGCGUUGUCCGGAAUCACUGGGCGUAAAGGGCGCGUAGGCGGCGUGGUAAGUCACUUGUGAAAUCUCUGAGCUUAACUCAGAACGGCCAAGUGAUACUGCUGUGCUAGAGUGCAGAAGGGGCAAUCGGAAUUCUUGGUGUAGCGGUGAAAUGCGUAGAUAUCAAGAGGAACACCUGAGGUGAAGACGGGUCGCUGGGCUGACACUGACGCUGAGGCGCGAAAGCUAGGGUAGCAAACGGGA